AACGAACGCUGGCGGCAUGCCUAACACAUGCCAGUCGAACGAGACCUUCGGGUCUAGUGGCGCACGGGUGCGUAACGCGUGGGAACCUGCCCUUAGGUUCGGAAUAACUCCCCGAAAGGGGUGCUAAUACCGGAUAAUGUCUUCGGACCAAAGAUUUAUCGCCUUUGGAUGGGCCCGCGUUGGAUUAGCUAGUUGGUAGGGUAAAAGCCUACCAAGGCGACGAUCCAUAGCUGGUCUGAGAGGAUGAUCAGUCACACUGGGACUGAGACACGGCCCAGACUCCUACGGGAGGCAGCAGUGGGGAAUAUUGGACAAGGGGCGAAAGCCUGAUCCAGCAAUGCCGCGUGAGUGAUGAAGGCCUUAGGGUUGUAAAGCUCUUUUACCCGGGAUGAUAAUGACAGUACCGGGAGAAUAAGCGCCGGCUAACUCCGUG
rnacentral:rRNA from 1 species